rnacentral:rRNA from 1 species
UACGGAGGGUGCAAGCGUUAUCCGGAUUCACUGGGUUUAAAGGGUGCGUAGGAGGGCAGGUAAGUCAGUGGUGAAAUCCCCGAGCUUAACUUGGGAACUGCCGUUGAUACUAUCUGUCUUGAAUGUUGUGGAGGUAAGCGGAAUAUGUCAUGUAGCGGUGAAAUGCUUAGAUAUGACAUAGAACACCAAUUGCGAAGGCAGCUUGCUACACAAUUAUUGACUCUGAUGCACGAAAGCGUGGGAU